GUUGGAAGACUAAGCUUUAUUUAACUAAGUGUCAGAUCUAUAAUAAGCUCAUGGAAUGAGAUUGAAAUGGGCUUAUUUAUAGUAAACCGAUCACAGAAUGAUCGGAACAUACGUAAAUAAAUAUCGAGACCGCAAGGCCAAUUAAGUGAUGUUCGGCUACUGGACAAUACCGGGUUCCAAUUAAGAAAAGUUUGACUACCUAUCAUUGCGGGAUUAUACAAAAGGAAGGUCGGAUCUGCGAGAGUCCACUAAGGAAAGAAUCAUAGAUAUCAAGUCAAGCCAUUGAUGGAUCUUUUACCAAUCCAAAUAAGGAAACUGGCAUUAAGUGGCUGGGUUGGUGAGGAAGCUUAAGGACCCAUUGAGCUCUCAAUUUUCACACAACCAAGAAAAACAUGUUUAUAUCAAAGUCAGAGCAGGAACGAGUUGAUAGAAAGAGAAGUUUUAGAAGAGGGGUCGAAGGAGGAGGAGUUAAAGAGUUCUUUGUCAAAAACACUAGAUAGUUCAGAGUCUUCGAAUCCUAGAGAUUUAGGACGAAGAUUAUGAGGGUGUGAUUUAUGGCAGCUUAGUAAUUUGUAUAUUGGUCAGAGUUGGCUCGUUAGGAUGAAGAUUAUGUGUUAGGAGAAUUAUUUAUGGAAAAUUCAUUUAUCGUUCUUCAAGAUGAUUCUCUAGGAUCGAAGAAUCUUCUUACCUCCUUAGGAUAAUUGCAUGUUAGUUUUUUGUGAUGAUGAUAUGCUUAAACGGAUAUGUUUGCGUAAACGAAUGUAGAAUUGAUCUUGAAAAGAAUGGGUAUGUUAAGUGGAAAACGUUAUAGAAAUGAAUUAAGGAUGAGAAUAAUUAAGAAAAUUACGGGAAUAGAAGAUUGAAACUAAAGUACAUGAUUAAGAAAUGAAAUUAAAUAAGGAAAGUAUGUUUUG
rnacentral:lncRNA from 1 species